UGAGCAAUCUGCCCUUCUCAUCGGAAUAAGCGUUGGAAACGACGUCUAAUGCCGAAUACGACCUCCUUUCGCAUGAUCGGAGGUGGAGAACUCCGGCGGAGAAGGAUGACCUCGCGGCCUAUCAGCUAGUUGGUGUGGGUAAUGGCCCACCAAGGCGACGACGGGUAGCCGGCCUGAGAGGGCGACCGGCCACACUGGGACUGAGACACGGCCCAGACCUCCGUACGGGGAGGNAGCG
rnacentral:rRNA from 1 species